AUUGAACGCUGGCGGCAGGCCUAACACAUGCAAGUCGAGCGGAUGAAGGGAGCUUGCUCCUGGAUUCAGCGGCGGACGGGUGAGUAAUGCCUAGGAAUCUGCCUGGUAGUGGGGGAUAACGUCCGGAAACGGGCGCUAAUACCGCAUACGUCCUGAGGGAGAAAGUGGGGGAUCUUCGGACCUCACGCUAUCAGAUGAGCCUAGGUCGGAUUAGCUAGUUGGUGGGGUAAAGGCCUACCAAGGCGACGAUCCGUAACUGGUCUGAGAGGAUGAUCAUUCACACUGGAACUGAGACACGGUCCAGACUCCUACGGGAGGCAGCAGUGGGGAAUAUUGGACGAUGGGCGAAAGCCUGAUCCAGCCAUGCCGCGUGUGUGAAGAAGGUCUUCGGAUUGUAAAGCACUUUAAGUUGGGAGGAAGGGCAGUAAGUUAAUACCUUGCUGUUUUGACGUUACCAACAGAAUAAGCACCGGCUAACUUCG
rnacentral:rRNA from 1 species